UACAGAGGUCUCAAGCGUUGUUCGGAUUCAUUGGGCGUAAAGGGUGCGUAGGCGGCGCGGUAAGUCGGGUGUGAAAUCUCGGGGCUUAACUCCGAAACUGCAUUCGAUACUGCCGUGCUUGAGGACUGGAGAGGAGACUGGAAUUUACGGUGUAGCGGUGAAAUGCGUAGAUAUCUGGAGGAAGACCAGUGGCGAAGGCGGGUCUCUGGACAGUUCCUGACACUGAGGCACGAAGGCCAGGGGAGCAAACGGG
rnacentral:rRNA from 1 species